rnacentral:siRNA from 1 species
AGAUGUCUGGUUGAGUGGGGAAUG